rnacentral:piRNA from 1 species
UAAAUGCUACGAAAAUGUCAGCCAUUAUC